UGAGGAACAUGACCUUCGGCGGGGGAUAGCCGGCCCAACGGCCGGGUAAUACCGCGUACGACCACAUGGGGACAUCCCCGAUUGGUGAAAGCAGCAAUGCGCCGAAAGAGUGCCUCGCGGCCUAUCAGCUAGUUGGUGGGGUAAUGGCUCACCAAGGCGACGACGGGUAGCUGGUCUGAGAGGAUGGCAGCCACAUUGGGACUGAGACACGGCCCAGACUCCUACGGGAGCA
rnacentral:rRNA from 1 species